rnacentral:rRNA from 1 species
CCCAGACAGCCAGGAUGUUGGCUUAGAAGCAGCCAUCAUUUAAAGAAAGCGUAAUAGCUCACUGGUCGAGUCGGCCUGCGCGGAAGAUGUAACGGGGCUAAACCAUGCACCGAAGCUGCGGCAGCGACACUCAUGUGUUGUUGGGUAGGGGAGCGUUCUGUAAGCCUGUGAAGGUGGCCUGUGAGGGUUGCUGGAGGUAUCAGAAGUGCGAAUGCUGACAUAAGUAACGAUAAAGCGGGUGAAAAGCCCGCUCGCCGGAAGACCAA